CGCAAAGAUCCGCAAAAGGCUUGAGAAAACUCGAGGAAAACCACACGGCACGUAGUCGAGACACAAGACGAAGCUCAAGAGUCGAACAAGAUUCAACAAGUUGCAAGGGGGUGGAACCUUAGAGAGCGCGCUGGCAACGCGGUAUCGUAGCAUGCAAAAAAAAAGGGAAGAGUCCAUUAUCGAGAAAGGGGAGGGGUGACAGAUGAGUGAGUGCUAAUUGACAAGCAUGCGCGAUCUAUCGGGAAACUCGACAACCAAAUCGCUAAUUAGCAAAAAAGGCGAUAGAUGGCGGAGCAAUAUCGAUGUUCGAUAUUUUUCAGGGCGCAUAGGCGCCAACACAUACAUAAAAUAUACAAACGUUUGACAAUACAUUGUUUUCGACCAGCAAGAUAAAUUCUGUACAUUUUGAGGCUUAAUGUGAAAAUUACUAAAUUGAGGAAGUCAAGAGAUUUGUAAAAGCUGUAUCCCGGAAUGGAGCCAAGAUACAAUACUGUAACCUUUGUGGAAUGAAGAAAUGUUCUCCGUUUUUUCCUGUGUAGUAAUUAGGUUGAUUCAUCUAUUAAAUUGUUGUUCUUUCGUUUCA